rnacentral:rRNA from 1 species
UUCAGUGAAAUCGAGUAGGGCGGGACACGUGAUAUCCUGUCUGAAUAUGGGGGGACCAUCCUCCAAGGCUAAAUACUACUGACUGACCGAUAGUGAACCAGUACCGUGAGGGAAAGGCGAAAAGAACCCCUGUGAGGGGAGUGAAAUAGAACCUGAAACCGUGUACGUACAAGCAGUAGGAGCAGGCUUGUCCUGUGACUGCGUACCUUUUGUAUAAUGGGUCAGCGACUUAUAUUCAGUGGCAAGGUUAACCAUCUAGGGGAGCCGUAGGGAAACCGAGUCUUAACUGGGCGUUCAGUCUCUGGAUAUAGACCCGAAACCAGGUGAUCUAGCCAUGGGCAGGUUGAAGGUUGAGUAACAUCAACUGGAGGACCGAACCGACUAAUGUUGAAAAAUUAGCGGAUGACUUGUGGCUAGGGGUGAAAGGCCAAUCAAACCUGGAGAUAGCUGGUUCUCCCCGAAAGCUAUUUAGGUAGCGCCUCGGACGAAUACUACUGGGGGUAGAGCACUGUUAAGGCUAGGGGGUCAUCCCGACUUACCAACCCUUUGCAAACUCCGAAUACCAGUAAGUACUAUCCGGGAGACACACGGCGGGUGCUAACGUCCGUCGUGGAGAGGGAAACAACCCAGACCGCCAGCUAAGGUCCCAAAUUACUACUAAGUGGGAAACGAUGUGGGAAGGCUCAGACAGCCAGGAUGUUGGCUUAGAAGCAGCCAUCAUUUAAAGAAAGCGUAAUAGCUCACUGGUCGAGUCGGCCUGCGCGGAAGAUGUAACGGGGCUAAGUAGUAAACCGAAGCUGCGGCAAUAUACUUUUGUAU